rnacentral:rRNA from 1 species
GACGAACGCUGGCGGCGUGCUUAACACAUGCAAGUCGAACGGAAAGUCCCUGCUUUUGUGGGGUGCUCGAGUGGCGAACGGGUGAGUAACACGUGAGUAACCUGCCCUUGACUUUGGGAUAACGUCAGGAAACUGGGGCUAAUACCGGAUAGGAUCUCCUGUAGCAUGGUGGGGGUUGGAAAGUUUCGGCGGUUGGGGAUGGACUCGCGGCUUAUCAGCUUGUUGGUGGGGUAGUGGCUUACCAAGGCUUUGACGGGUAGCCGGCCUGAGAGGGUGACCGGCCCCAUUGGGCCUGAGAUACGGCCCAGACGCCUACGGGAGGAAGGAGUGGAGAAUAUUGCACAAUGGGCGGAAGCGUGAUGCAGGAACUCCGCGUGCGAGAUGCCGGCCUUCGGGUAGUAAAACGCUUUCGCUUGUGACGAAGCGUGAGGAAGGGUAAUGGGUAAAGAAGCACCGCCUAAUUACUU